UACGUAGGGUGCGAGCGUUAAUCGGAAUUACUGGGCGUAAAGUGUGCGCAGGCGGCUUCGCAAGUCGGGUGUGAAAUCCCCGAGCUUAACUUGGGAAUUGCGCUCGAAACUACGGAGCUGGAGUGUGGCAGAGGAAGGUGGAAUUCCACGUGUAGCGGUGAAAUGCGUAGAGAUGUGGAGGAACACCGAUGGCGAAGGCAGCCUUCUGGGCCAACACUGACGCUCAUGCACGAAAGCGUGGGGAGCAAACAGG
rnacentral:rRNA from 1 species